CCGCCACCGCGGGCCGAGACGGGCGUCGGGAGGAAGGCAGAGGCCCUGCCGCGGCUUUGUACCGGAGGUCCCGCUGCCGGCUGGGACUUUAGACAUUAUCAGCUCGUCAGAAGCAAGAUCUGAUGUGUCAUAUGCUCUAUGUAGAACCAGGAAGAAUCCACUUGUGGAAUUUUUCUAUAAGUGCUCCAGCAAUGAAACAGCUGCCCGAGUGAGGAAUUCCAGUUUGAAAAGAAAUGGACAAAGUUCAAACGGUUACAAAGUCAAGCUGUGUCUUCCAGCCACAGGAUUGGCUCCUCUAAGGGACACGAGGGGAUCAAGGCUGGACCUAGAAUUGAUCAUUACUUUUGGAGCCAAGAGUGGCAGUAAAUCUUCAUCUCUUUGUGGG